GGAGAGAUGACCGAGCUGGCUGAAGGUGCACGACUGGAAAUCGUGUAACGGUUAACGCCGUUCGAGGGUUCGAAUCCCUCUCUCUCCGCCA
rnacentral:tRNA from 1 species